rnacentral:rRNA from 1 species
AGACAGAGGGUGCAAACGUUGUUCGGAAUUACUGGGCGUAAAGCGAGUGUAGGCGGUUUGCUUAGUCGGAUGUGAAAGCCCCGGGCUCAACCCGGGAAGUGCAUUCGAAACUGGCAGGCUAGAGUAUCGGAGAGGUUGGUGGAAUUCUCGGUGUAGAGGUGAAAUUCGUAGAUAUCGAGAGGAACACCGGUGGCGAAGGCGGCCAACUGGACGAAUACUGACGCUGAGACUCGAAAGCGUGGGGAGCAAACAGGAUUAGAUACCCUGGUAGUCCACGCCGUAAACUAUGGGUGCUAGGUGCUGCGGGCUUUGACUCCUGCGGUGCCGUAGCUAACGCAUUAAGCACCCCGCCUGGGGAGUACGGCCGCAAGGCUAAA